rnacentral:lncRNA from 1 species
UCUGUAGGACCGAAAUUCUCCACUCCUCGCAACUCAACAUAGAGAUGCUCCAAAGAGUUAUUGUCGGCCAUGGACUGAAGUUUCUCUUUUGAUGCUUCAGACGAUGUAGCUUGGGUCCCUUCAUCAUUUCCGUGGACCUGUUCUAAAUGCUUUUGCAUAAUCAAUUGUUCCCCAACAAGUGCUUGCUCCCUCAUAUGAGCCGUAUUCAAAUUCCC